rnacentral:sRNA from 1 species
GCGACAUCAUAAGCGACCCGACCCGGAAUG